ACUCCUUUACAAAAAUAUUUUUGAAAUGAAUGGAAUUGUAUAACUGUUCAGCAGCAUCACUUAUGCAUUUAUGCAUUUGGUAAUAUACCUAGGAAGCUUUUCUAUGGCUACAAGAGAAGUAACAGUUUUUUAAACCAGCUUCCUUAACAGACAAGAGGAUUGUUUUCCAGAUUUUUUCUUUUUUUUUUGUUCAUAUUAAUAAUACUGCUAUAGUGUAGCUGUAAAGUCUUCUUGUACACAUAUUUUUGUUUAUAUUUUAGAAGAAUCUGAAGGAUCUAGUUCUAGAAAUCAAAUUUCUGGGCCAAAAGCAUGAGGAUUUAAAAAAGUUGGUAGAUUAUGCUUCUGUUCUUCCAUAAGUUAGUGCCAGUUUAUACGUCUCCGAGUGGUCUGUUCAAGUGCCUGGUCCCCACAUACUUGAUAAUCAUUGUUAGACUGUCAGCAUUUCAUUUUGAUUUGCAUUUCUUUAGUUGUGAGUGGGUUUGUAGAUAUUGUCAUGUCCUUACUGGUCAUUUUGGUUUUUUUAGUGAACUGUAAUUUUUGCCCAUUUUUCAUUGGAUUAUCUUUUUGUUAGCAAUUUGUAUCCAUUUAAUAUUUGUUACAAAUAUUUUUUCAGUUUAUUGUUUAUUUAUAUUUGGUUUGGGGUGGGGUUUUUUUUUGCCACUUAUAAAAAAAUCAGUUGUGUCCUUUUUUGGGCUUCUAGGUUUUAUGCCAUAAUUAAAGUCUUUUUGUGCUUUAAAUGUAUUUUUAAAAAUUUUACCCACAUUUUGCUCAAAUAGUUUUAUAGUUUCAUAUUUUUUACUUUAAAUGUAGUAUAUCUGGAAUUUAUUUUGAUUUAAAGAAUGAAGAUAGUGAUCUAAUCUUAAGUUUUCCAAAUGAUUAAAUGUUGCUUCAACACUGUUUGGUGGGGGCAUUCUGCUGCUUCUGUGAAAUCCUUACAUUUGAGAUUUUCUGACUGUAGAAUAUGUUGUGUUUAGAGUAUUGUCUGGACUGGGAAAGCUGCACAUGUGAAGCUGCAGGAUCCCCACGUGAAUUAGGAAAGCUGAUGAGUUUCUUUUAGGUCAGAUGAGAGGCAUUUGUGUCAGAUGAGAGCUUCUAGAAUUUGCGAGUACUGGAAGGAGAGGCAAACUUCUGAGAGGGGACCUCGGUGUUCAGUUUGCAGGUUCACCCCAUGUAUCGUGGGGCUUACCCUCUCUGUAAACAAGAUUCAAUCUAAACUAAGGAAAGGCUUGUCAAUGAUGAGACUGCAUUUGCCAUUGGGCGCUCUUAAAUAGGACUUGUUUUUAUAGAAAUCUGACUCUAUAAUUUGUCAAAAUUUGUAACUGUCUCACUAGAAUUCAUUGAUCUUAUUAGAUAGGAGACCUCAAUGUAACAUUCCUAAAGUGACAAGUGGAGUUUUCUAAGUAUAACUUAAGACUGAGCGUAAAGUUAGUAAGCUAGAAAGUAUCUUCUGAGCAUGAGAAUCUCAUUACUUUAUCAUCAUCAAAGGCCUUGACCAAAGUAGAAGUGGUGAAAUUGUGGACUUGGAAGAGCAGUGUCACAGUAUUUGUUGUUUAGAUUGUAACUUUUAUAACGAAACAUAAAAUGGUGGGAGCCAAAAAAAAAAAAACGUGGGAGGAGAAGUGUAGCUGUGCCUGUCACACGGAUGAGGGUUUAAGACUUGAAGGGAAAGUCUGAGCUCUGUCCGGGUCGGUGAAUGAACCCUCCCUGCUACUUUUAUUAUAGUUCUUGCCAAAGAAUGGCAGCAAGUAUGAGUUGAGCAGAGCUGUGAGUUAGGGGUUAGCUUCUCUUCGUUGAUGCAGGACAAAUGCAAGAUUUAUAGAUGAGUGAAUGUUUAAGGUGUAAAGUAGAAAAGUGUUGUCUAUUAAAUGUUUUCUCUGAAAUUUACUGCAAACUGAAAACAGUGAGGCUCUCUGGCUUUACAUGGUAAAGGAGGAAGUGUUGAUUGCUUGCAAAUAAGGCCAGUAUACAGUUUUUCUUGAUUAAAAUUUGAAUGCUUCAGAAUAUAAGACUUAAUUCCCUAUGAACAUCAGUGGGAAAUGAAUUUUCAGAGCUUAUUCAUUUGCUUAAAACCUAGAUAUGACUCCAGUUCUUCUUUAUUCUGAACAUGUAAGCAUAAAUUGCAAUGUGUUACUUUAAACAUGUUUCUGAGACCUAUGAACUUUUAGUAAAACCAUUUAACUUUGUAAUAUUUGUUGGUAUUAAAUUUAGUUGGACUCAAUGAAAAAUUAUAGAGGAUAAACUAACUCAGAGACAUGUUUACUGCUUUUGUUUUAAGUUGAACAUAAGGCUUAAAUUGAAUCAAGUGCAUAUAUUUUUAUGUCUUUUGGUAAUGUAUCAUAUUCCCACAAAAUUAAAGAAUUUCAUUGGCAUGCAUAGAACCAGCAGAGAAAUGCAAAAUAUUAAACAAUAAUGUUAGUAUAGACUCUACUUCAUAAUUUAUGAAAUAUAUUUAACUUGAUGGGCAUAGGCAUGGUAUAAAAAAUUUCAUAAAAUAUUUAUCUUCAUUACACUAUAGUUAGGUCCCAUUCUUUAAGUGUAACUUUGCCAGCAAAAUUUUUGAAUUUUAAAUUGUGGCUUUCGUUGAAUGAAGUACUCUUACAUUAAGUGAUUUUUGAAGGUACUUGGCUGAUUUAACCUUUCAGAAAUAGUCUGAGGCAUUAUGUCUGCAUUGUCCAGCAAACUAUCAGCAUUCUCCCAAUAAGGGAAAAUUAAUUUCCAGGAUUAAUGUAGGAUUUUGAAAACAUAAGCUUCACACUGAAGAGACAGACACAUUAUGAUUUGAGGUCACUGGCAGCAUAAAGAUUCAGGCUUCUCGGUGGAUUUUGUUUUAAAUCCUACAGUCUCUUUCUAUUGUCACUUAAUAUAUACUGCCCUCCUACUUCUUGUGGAGACACUGUCUGUCUCCUUAGCAUCAUAGCCCACACUUGAGACCCCAAAUUAGGACUCCAGACUCAUGGUGAGGUCUGGGACCCUGUCUGUCAUCUCAGCGUUUGACUUCCUAGAAACAUUCAACUUUUGUUGAAUGAGUGAAUGCCUUACUUUGAUUGGAGAAACAGGUUGAUUUUCACGUCCAACUAGCAUUGCUGUUGGAAGUCAGAGUUCUGAAUAUACAAAAAUAUGUUCCUGGAGGCCAGGCCACUGCUACUGGUCAGUGUCACACUUGUUUUCUUGCCCUGGUUUAUAUAUAUGUAAAGAAGAGCUAAGUGGCUGUCUAAUUUCAUUAACGAUAUUGCUAUAGUGUUUAACUCUGUAAAAAAUAAAUGUUUCCUUAUCUCAGGAAAUGAAUGAAAUACUACUUUAGCUUUAUAGGACUGACUUGGAAUUAAAUUGUCAUCCUUAUACCCAGCAGCUAACAGGAUUCUUAGGGCACCCUUCCAUUCAAACUAGGACUGUGAUUCUCUGUGUAGAAAUGUGUACAUUUUCAUUUUUCUGUGAUAAAAAUGGCUUCUAAUAUUUUAUAUUUUAGUGUCAUGUUAGAGAUUUCAUUCCAUGAUCAUUUGUUCAUUCACAUGUAUUUUUAUUUUUAGCUCUAAGCGAAAGACAUGAGGCCUCAGCCUGAAAUGGGGUUGUUUGAGGUCAUCUGAUUUCUGGCUAGAAGGUGUGCGAUCGCCUCGUCCUGAAACCACUUCAGACUGAAUGGUUUGCAAUUUUUUUUGGUGAUGGCAUGUUCAGAAUCUUGGAUCCCUAAGUUCAAUAUAUUGGAAAUAUUUAGGAACCCUGGAAAUAAUGUUGUUUUCAUAUACAUGAUUUACUAGGUGAAUCAAUAGAUUUAAUAAAAGUAUAUAAAAGAACAGA